GGGAACCUGAGAGGAGAAACACAAAAAUAAAUCUUUAUGAUGAAGGAAAAUAGAGAGAUAGAUUUCUAAGAGAGUGGAAACUCUGUAAAUGAACUGACUCAUUUGUGACGCAACGUACCUCAGCAUGUUAUCCACAACUUCAUGGUAGAUGAGCUGGUACUCCUCGACUGAGCGGUUGUGGAUCCUAAUAGGGUCUUCGAGGUGCAGGGGAGCAUUGGAGGUCCGGGGGCUGGAGGCCACAUUAGAGACAGGUGGCAGGUCAGCAGGUUUAGGAGGAAGAGCCGCGGAGGUCUGCUUCCUUUUCUGGGGAAGGUCUGCAGAAGCAGCAGGGCGCCGGCGCUUUGUAUGUGGCACCUGGAGAAGGUCAGCAAAACACGAGAGGAUGUCAGACUCUAGUAAACUUCUUACUUAACAACAUACUUUUAUCAUUUUACAAGAGGAAACAUCUACAUCAGAUGCAGAGGAUUACUUGAAAUGAACAGAGUUGAGGAUCAGAUGUCUCACCUGGUCGUCCCUGCAGCAGGGACACUGUCUGCAGACUGCAGGCCUCCUCUGGCGGGCAGAGACUCUCCUUCCUGUCUGGUUGUCCUGCGGGAGGACGGGCACUCGACCCUGCAACAACACACACUCAUGUUAGGAUGAGGCUCUACAAGUACAUGCAGGAUGGACCUUUUUCAAGGCAGGGCUCUUCCUGGGUGUAUGGCCUUCCUGAAGUGGGACAGGAGACAACAAGAACAACACAACCAGUGUGAUCCACAGCGGUCAACACCUAGCACCCCAUUAUAUACACGUGAUUGCUUUGAUAUUGAAUUCAAUGAAAACACCUCUAUUAAAUAAUCCUGUGUUCUGUGACAUACUUUACCCUCAGUGAUGUGUUCAAGCCGAACUACUUCCAAACAAUGUUGUCACCAGGAAUCUGUUUCAACUGAAAGUAUUUGUAACAACAAACAAAUGUAAUUCCUUCUCCAUCACACAAACAGAAACAAGAAAAUAUGUGUCCAGAGGGUGGCGCCAGAGGACAGGCUGAGUUACUAAAGACCAAAUGGUUUAUCCUGUGAAGGAGCUAUACACCAACUUUCACUGUAGUCAGUUUGCAAACAUUUAAAAAAUAAAAUGAUUAUCAAUCUUGUAGUUCACAAUAAAAAUGAAUGUAUCUACAAACAAAAACGUUUUAAAAACGUAUUUAAAAUGGGAUGUCAACUUGUGAGUGUGGUACAAUUGGUGCCACACUGCUGAUAUAUUAACUAUUACUUCCAUGGACAGUCGAUUCAAAAAUGAUGUGCUGGUUAUAGCAAGGGGUUAUAUUAUGGCAUUUUGUUUUAAUCAUCCUUCAAGAUAAAACCAGUAUAAGUAAAUAAUGAAAUAAAGACAAUGAUCAUUUUUAAA